rnacentral:pre_miRNA from 1 species
AGAAACUCCCUCAAACAGGAUCUAAGUGCAAUUUUGCACUGUUUAUAUUUAAAACUCUUUUAUAAUUAGUAUUAUUAUUAUUAGAUGAUAAAAUAUGGAUAGUACUUUAUGUGUGACUUUUUAAAAAAAAUUCAUAAUUUUCUAAUUAAGAUGGACGGUUAAACGUUGUACACGAAUAUCGACAGCUGUACUUAUU